rnacentral:lncRNA from 1 species
CAAGUGGGCGGAUGCCUCCCUCACUGGAGCUGGGAACAGACUUACUGCCAGCAGCUCAGGGUGGGGUCGCCUGAGAAUAGAAAACUCGUGGGGCAGAGAAGGGAGCACAGCUCUCACAGCUGGCUGUACCAGACCACUGAUAUCUUAAAAUGAAAGCACUUUUUCUGUUAACAAGAGACGCGAUGCAGGGGACAGGGGAAUGAGAAGCUGCCAGGGAACCUGCGGUGCAGGCUACUGGGAGCGACAAACACUGGCAGGGAGGGGGAAAGGCGGCAGAGGCGUCGAAUCAACCACUUGACAGAUGCCCGGUGCUCGCUGCACUGCCCGCCCGCCUGGCUCACGCCCCCGGAGGCAGUGGAGGCAGCGGCGAGGGAGCGAGCAGCCAGAUGCCAUCCAAAUGACUGUGUCAAGAGGAAUUCAAGAUUCAAUGGUCUUGGUGUUUGUUAACCUUCCCCUGUUCCAGAGGAAGAAAAACAUCCACACCACAGAGUCUCAGUAACAAGACUGACCACCUGACCACAGAGAUGAUCAAACAUUAACCCAUUACCUUCUCAGAUUCUUGGCUCUCUGGAUAAAAUACUGC